rnacentral:lncRNA from 1 species
UAGCAUUCAAAGUUGGAAUGGUUCGACCUACCACCUCUUUGACCACGUCCUCUGCCACGCCAAUUUUGCUGGAUCGACUGUCCUCUCUCGAAGUUGCUGCCUCUACCACUUCGACCAUUGUCACGUCCUCCACGACCACGUCCUCUUCCUCGAAAGUUUUGAGAAAAAAGUACCUUUUCGUCUUUGAUUUGCUCCUUGGUUUGAUUU